UCCGCUCGUGACGGUUCGUGCCGUUUCUGGCGACUCCGGUUGACUCGACAGCGACUCAUGUUUCGGCGAUUUGCCGACCAAAUCCCACUCAAAAUCCUUCGUUUUCUUCACUCCCGUGUCUGAUUUCCUCUAGUUCCUGCUAGCUAGUGAGAUCCCUAGACCAAUUUCUCCAGCAUCGAGCCCCUUCCUAUAGGUGCUGCUCAUACUCUGUUUUUCUACAGCAAGAUCCAGAAUAAGUGAGACAGCGAUUUCAAUCCCGGGUGAAUCCCCAACCUGAAUCCUUUCGCGUCUGCUAGGGUGCGCGAUUGUGAAAUACCAGUCAAUCCUAGUCCCGUGCGUGCGGUGGUGAACUUAGAGGCAGCUGCCGUGAGGCUUCACCCCGAAGCGAGCUAUUAGUAGACACCUCGCCAUGGGAGAUAGGAGAACUCUUUCCCUGGCCGGCGUGGAGGGGAUGCUGAAGGAUUUGAAGUUGUCAGAGGCAAAAAAGAAAAGUGUCAAAAUUGGAAGAAGGCAGAUCUGCUCCUCAACUGUAAGCAAACUACAGACUAUAGGUAAGAUUUUCUCAGAGAGGCCAGCGAAAGCAGAGUUUGUGGGAAGAACAUUAGGAAAUUUGUGGUGCCCUUUUGCUGAACUUGAUUGCAAAGAUCUUGGUAGAAAUCGUUUUCUGUUUACCUUUCCUGAUGAGACUAGCAAGAAGAAAGCUUUGGAUGGUGGACCGUGGAGGUUUAAUAAAGAUUUGAUAGUGAUGGAAAAAUUUGUGGCCAGUAAAACAAUAGAUGAAUAUGAGUUUAAAUGGAUCCCUAUAUGGGUCAGAGCUUAUGGCAUCCCCACGGGGAUGAUGAGUUCAGAAACGGGAGAUUUAGUCGGAGAGAGAAUAGGAGAAGUACUUGAUAUUGAUGUGGAUUGGGACGGAACAGCGAUGGGCCAGUUUAUGAGAAUCAAAGUACGAAUGGAUAUUACAAUGCCAAUAACAAGAUUCAUCACUUUGGAAAUUGAAUAUGACGAGGAAGAACAGGAGGCCAUGUGUGAGGAGUUGAUGAGUAAUGCAGAGAACAGAGAGAAGAAAAAGUGGAGAAGGUUGUUGAUUUCAAAUAUGAGUAUCUGCCUGAUUUUUGCUAUUGUUGCGGCAUCAUUGGGCACACAGAAAAAUCAUGCCUAUCUAGAGCCAGAAGAGAGGGAGCUAGACAGUAUGGGCCGGAUCUGCGGCCAAUUAUCUAUAAAGGAGGCUCUAGUGAAGAGAGGAGUAGAAGCUCAAGUGAUAAGGAAAAUUUCUGGUUAACAAAUGUUGCUGGAAACCGGGGUGGUAAGCAUGGAAGUGACAGUCCAUCAUGGAGAAAGAACACUCAACGGGGCAAGGAGGAAGAUGGAGCAAGGAAAGAGGAGGAGAAAGCAGUUGAGUGCCCUUCGAAGUUUAGUCAGGAUGACCAAACGGGGUCCAAAGAAAGCGAGAAACUGAUUUUUGAGGAUAAAUCAAAAACUCUAGAUUUGUUUGAAGGAAUAGAAAACACUGAUCAUGUACCCAAGUCAGAAUCUGGUCGGGAGUCAGGUCAGAGGGGGUAGGAGAAGAAAAUUUGAUACACGAUGGAACAAUACAAGUAGACAAGGUGAAGUCCCAAACUUUAACAUCCACAACAGUAGGACAAGUAAUUUUGGAUAGGAAAACCAUGAAAGGAGGGAAACGUCAAAGUCAGGGUACUUUCAAGCGAUAUGAAAGAUCUAAUGGAAAUAAAGGUCAGGGUCAAUCUUUCAAAACAGAGUUGAAGAAAAGAAAUGUCGACCUGAUGGAAUUAGACUUGGAGGCUCAGAUUAUGAAGAAAGCAAGAAUGGAUGUGGACGAAGUGUUUGCGGCUAUAGAGAAAGAGGAAAUAAACAACCCUGAGAAGAAGAACGCUGGGCUGGAGGGACAGCCCGGCAAACCAAAAUGAGGAUCACAACCUGGAACUGUCGGGGUUUGGGGAAUGGCCCGACAGUACGUGGGCUUCUGGACCUCCAGAAGCGGGUGGACCCCGAUAUCCUCUUCUUAUCCGAGACAAAACUGGAUGAGAGAAGGACGCAGUGGCUCAAGUACUUGUUGGGAAUGUCAAAUAUGGUGGUCAAGGAUUGUAAAGGAAAGAGCGGAUGACUUGCUUUAUUAUGGAAGAGGCAUGUGCAUGUUGAAUUGCGUAAUUAUUCGAGAUAUCAUAUUGAUGUAAAGAUAGUGGAGCAAUAUGGUUUUACAUGGAGAUUUAUGGGCAUAUAUGGUGAGCCUGCGACUGAUAAAAGGGAUAAAACAUGGGACCUUCUGAGGAUCCUCGAUCAACAAAUUAAGCUUCCAUGGUUGUGUGCUGGUGACUUCAAUGAAAUUUUAUAUUGCCAUGAAAAGAAAGGUGGAUCAGCUCGGGCUACUCGGCAAAUGGAGACUUUCAAGAUAACUUUGGCAGAUUGUGGCUUGCGUGACCUGGGAUACAUGGGUGACAAAUACACUUGGAGAAACCAUAGUCAUGAAGCUAGUAAAUAUAUAAAAGAAAGACUUGACAGAGUCGUGGGGACCCGAACUUGGUGCAACAGGUUUCCUUCAUAUAAGGUAAUAAUUGGGGAUCCUAGACACUCUGACCAUCGGCCAAUGACCAUUUAUGUAGAGGGCACGGAUAAAGCCAUGAGAAAGCAUGGAGGCCACUGUGGCUAUUAGAUUUGAGGCGAAGUGGCUACAAGAAGAAGGAUGUGAGGAGGUGAUUAGCAAUGCAUGGUCUACUGCAGAGAUAAGGGGCGAAAACAAUUUAUCACAGAAACUAAGGAGAGUGGUAGAAGACCUGAGGCAUUGGGACACUAAUGUCCUAGGUGAUUUGCAGAAAAGGAUCAAGGCACUAAAAGUUGAGCUAGAACAGGUGAGGAGGGCACCCAUUAGCCAUUAUACAGUAGCUCGAGAACACUUUGUGCGGGAAAAAUUGGAUAGAUUAGAACUAUAGCAGGACAUGUUUUGGAGGCAGAGAGCACAUGUUAAAUGGCUCCAAGCUGGAGGCAAAAACACUGCUUUUUUCCAUGCUUGUGCUUCAAAAAGAAAGAAGAAAAACACAAUUGGGAGACUAAAAAGGAAGAUGGAGCGUGGGUAGAGGGUGAAGAGCGCUUAAAAGAGCAUGUUGCAAGCUAUUUUUCUAAUCUGUCCACCUCUACAGUUGGGCCAAGAACUGAUGAAAUAUUGCAGACAGUUUCACCGAGGGUAAAUGCACAAAUGAAUAAAAGCCUUUGUGCUCAAUACACAGAGGAGGAAGUUAAGGAGGCUUUGUUCAAUAUUGGAGAUCUCACAGCACCUGGGCCUGAUGGUAUGUCUGCGGUUUUCUUCAAAAGGUUCUGGCAUCUAGUGGGAAACACAGUCACAGAGGAGAUCUUGAAAUUCCUUCGAGGAGGCCAGAUGCCAGAAGGAUGGAAUGAUACCAUGAUCGUCUUAAUCCCAAAAACAGCAAAUCCACAAAGCAUGAAGGACCUAAGACCGAUCAGCCUCUGCAACGUCAUCUACAAGACAAAAAGAAGUGGUAAAACAGGAUACGCGGCGAUAAAGCUAGACAUGAGUAAAGCCUACGAUCGAGUUGAAUGGAAUUCAAGCUGGGAUUUGAAAGAGAAUGGGUCAACCUAGUGACGAAGUGCGUGUCAACAGUUAAAUACCAAGUCAAGGUCAACAAAGAUGCAACUGAGGUAAUCAUCCCCCAAAGAGGAUUACGCCAGGGUGAUCCACUCUCACCGUAUUUAUUUCUACUAUGCGCAGAAGGUUUUUCUGCCUUGUUAUAUGAUGCUGAAAGAAAUGGUAGCUUGAAGGGAAUCAAAUUAUGUAGAGAAGCGCCAAGUGUGAGCCACUUGCUCUUUGCAGCUCCUUGAAGCAAAUGAAAAGAAUGCCCAAGCAGUUAAUGAUAUACUGGAGAAGUAUGAAGUUUGCUCUGGCCAAGUAAUAAACAAGGAUAAGUCAGCCAUCCUAUUCAGUAAGAACACCAACCAAAGGCAGAAAAGAGAGAUGAUGGAUAUAAUGGGCAUUACAGAGGAAGGCUUGAAAGGAAGAUAUCUUGGGCUGCCAGCAUAUGUUGGAAAAUCAAAGUCCAAAACCUUUCAGUAUAUUAAAGAAAAAGUGUGGGGAAAGAUACAGGGUUGGAAAGAGAAACUUCUAUCAAAAGCAGGGAAAGAAAUCCUAAUUAAAGUAGCAGCCCAAGCAAUGCCAGUAUACACUAUGACCUGUUUUGAUCUAACAAAAAAUCUUUGUGACGAGCUUAGCUCCAUGAUAUGCAAAUUCUGGUGGAGCCAGAUGGAUAAAGUUAACAAAAUACACUGGACAUGUUGGGAGAAGCUUUCUAAACCGAAGAGAGUGGGUGGACUAGGAUUUAGGGACCUUCAUGCUUUCAGUAUGGUCAUGCUUGCUAAACAAGGAUGGCGCCUACUUCAGAACCCGUCAUCAUUGUGUGCCCAAAUACUGCAAGCUAAAUAUCACCCAGGAAGCAGCAUACUUGAAGCUAUGCUAAGGAAGGGAAUUUCGUAUGCAUGGCACAGUAUUUUGAAAGGAGUGCAACUUCUGAAAAAGGCAUAAUUUGAAGAGUUGGGAAUGGACGAAACAUCAAAAUCUGGACAGACCCGUGGCUCCCAAGAGGAAUUACUAGAAGAGUUACUUCAUUACGUGGGAGACAAGUGAUUUCUAAGGUUGCUGACCUUAUAGACCCAGUGACAAACUGUUGGGAUGUCAGCCUUGUGCGCCAAACCUUCAAUGCAGAAGAUUCUGAGAUAAUCUUGCAGAUCCCCAUUUAUGAUCGUACACCUGACUCGAUUGCGUGGCAUUUUGACAAAAAAAGGAAUCUUCUUGGUGAAGUCAGCCUACAAGGUAGCAGUGGAUAGCAUAGAACGUGAUUCAACACAUGGCCAACCAUCUAGUUCAAGAAGCGAUGGAGAGGCAAUUGAUUUUGAAUGGAAGAAACUAUGAGCGUUACCUCUCCCAAAUAAAGUCCUCCAUUUUCUUUGGCGUAUAGCAACAUAUAGCUUACCAUUAAGAAUGAAGCUGAAGAAUAUAGGCAUGGAAAUAGAUAGUAGAUGCCCAGUGUGCCUUAGAUAUGAUGAGGAUGGUGGUCGCUGUUUUCUUAAAUGCAAAAUGGUGAGACGGCUGUGGAGCUUGGCACAAAUGGAUAAUAUUCGAAAUAGGCUAAUGUUAUGCAACGAUCCUCUUAGCUUAUUCAAUGAGUUGUUUCGCCUGACAGAAGAGGAGAGCGUAAAGGUGUGUGUCAUGUUUUGGUUAUGGUGGCACGAAAGAAAUAAGGCCAAUGCAGGAGACACGAUGAAAACGCCAGAUGAAAUUCUAGCUUCUAUUAACUAUCAUGUUAAUAAUUUCAGGAAUCUUAAGAAGCAGAGGAGCACCCAGAAGCAGACUUCCACGGCAAAAUGGUCUCCCCUGGCAAACGAAUUCCUGAAAGUAAACUCCAACGGGGCGUUUAAGGAAGCAUCAAAAUCUGAUGGCUGGGGUUUUACUUUGAGGAAUAGUAAUGGUAUGCUUUUGGCUGCAGGAGCAGGAAAGCUGGAAUAUGUAUCAAGUGCCCUCCAUGCUGAAGCUUUAGCCAUGGUGUAUGCAAUCAAUGCAACGUCAAGCAUGGGAGCCAAUCGUGUAAUUUUCGAAAUGGACUCGAUGGAGUUGAAGCAGGCUAUAACAAGUCAGGAGUAUGAUAGAUCAGCUCUAGGUUCUUUGUUUCAGGAGAUUAAAUUCCAACUUAAUGUAGCUUUUGAUUAUGUUAAGCUGAAUGUAUGUCCUAGAGCAUGUAAUAAUGCAGCACACACUAUAGCUGCAUAUGGUCAUGGUCUAGGGAGUGACGUAUGUGAGACAUGGUUAGGCCACUUCCCUGAGUUUGUACUGAACUCUGUUGCUGGCGGUUUAGCCAGUUUGUCAUCGUAAGGAAUUCUAGUCUGUUCUUUUCAAAAAAAAAAAAAAA